rnacentral:rRNA from 1 species
CAGACGGGUGAGUAACGCGUGGGAAUCUACCCAGAUCUACGGAAUAACCCAGGGAAACUUGGACUAAUACCGUAUACGCCCUUCGGGGGAAAGAUUUAUCGGAUUUGGAUGAGCCCGCGUCGGAUUAGCUAGUUGGUGGGGUAAUGGCCUACCAAGGCGACGAUCCGUAGCUGGUCUGAGAGGAUGAUCAGCCACACUGGGACUGAGACACGGCCCAGACUCCUACGGGAGGCAGCAGUGGGGAAUAUUGGACAAUGGGCGAAAGCCUGAUCCAGCCAUGCCGCGUGAGUGAUGAAGGCCCUAGGGUUGUAAAGCUCUUUCACCGGUGAAGAUAAUGACGGUAACCGGAGAAGAAGCCCCGGCUAACUUCGUGCCAGCAGCCGCGGUAAUACGAAGGGGGCUAGCGUUGUUCGGAUUUACUGGGCGUAAAGCGCACGUAGGCGGAUUGUUUAGUGAGGGGUGAAAUCCCAGGGCUCAACCCUGGAACUGCCUCUCAUACUGGCAAUCUCGAGUUUGGGAGAGGUGAGUGGAAUUCCGAGUGUAGAGGUGAAAUUCGUAGAUAUUCGGAGGAACACCAGUGGCGAAGGCGGCUCACUGGCC